GAUGAAGAACGUAGCGAAAUGCGAUAAGUAAUGUGAAUUGCAGAAUUCAGUGAAUCAUCGAAUCUUUGAACGCACAUUGCGCCCCUUGGUAUUCUGGCGGGCAUGCCUGUUCGAGCGUCAUUUCAACCCUCAAGCUCUGCUUGGUGUUGGGGCCCUACGGUUGACGUAGGCCCUUAAAGGUAGUGGCGGACCCUCUCGGAGCCUCCUUUGCGUAGUAACUAACGUCUCGCAUUGGGAUUCGGAGGGACUCUUGCCGUAAAACCCCCAAAUUUUCUAAUGGUUGACCUCGGAUCAGGUAGGAAUACCCGCUGAACUUAAGCAUAUCAAUAAGCGGAGGA
rnacentral:misc_RNA from 1 species